UCCCUGCCCUGCCUGUUCCUCCCUGGGCAGUCCCUGCGCCCGAGCCCGGGAGCUGCCGGAGCUGGAGGAGCCGUGGACAUCUUGUGAGCAGGGGAUCCUUGCUGUCCAGCUAUGGUUCCCAGCACAAGCAAGGUCUGCACUCUGAGGUUCUGGGUCUCAGACAGCAGCUGCCAUCAGGCAGGAGUCGCUCUGGGGGUCUCCUCCAGGGCACGUUGCUCACUCAGUGCCCUGGCUGUGCUGGACCCUCCCGUGGCCUUUCACAGUUCCGUGUGGCUCAACAGAUGACCAAAGCUGCUGAUCAUGACCUUCCCUGCACAUCCACUGAUCUGCUGCUGUGCAGUGGAGGACCUUGCAAGGAACGUGGAGGUCCUGCUUGAUAGAGGCUCCCCAAAGACUCUGGUGGAGUGGAGGGGCCAUGCUCCUGCACCCUGGUCAGACAUGCCCUGGAACUCAUCUUUAGGUAAAAUUCCCCCCAGGCUGAUGGCUCUGGGCU